GACGAACGCUGGCGGCGUGCUUAACACAUGCAAGUCGAACGGAAAGGCCCUGCUUUUGUGGGGUGCUCGAGUGGCGAACGGGUGAGUAACACGUGAGUAACCUGCCCUUGACUUUGGGAUAACUUCAGGAAACUGGGGCUAAUACCGGAUAGGAGCUCCUGCUGCAUGGUGGGGGUUGGAAAGUUUCGGAGGUUGGGGAUGGACGCGCGGCUUGUCAGCCUGUUGGUGGGGUAGUGGAUUACCAAGGCUUUGACGGGUAGCCCGCCUGGGAGGGUGACCGGCCACAUUGGGACAGAGAUACGGGCCAGACUCCUACGGGGGGCAGCAGUGGGAGAUAUUGCACAAUGGGCGGAAGCCGGAUGCAGCAACGCCGCGUGCGGGAUGACGGCUUUCGGGUUGUAAACCGCGUUCGCCUGUGACGAAGCGUGAGUGACGGUAAUGGGUAAAGAAGCACCGGCUAACUACGUG
rnacentral:rRNA from 1 species